AAACAUAAGCCCAUUUGCUGAUUUGCACUCGAGCCCAUUUAUUUAGCUUAAACUACCAAUACAUUCCUAUUUCCUCCAUGUGAUUCGUGAAUCGGUAAAUGCAUUUCUAACUCAUCAAUAGCCCUAAAAUUUAAAUCCCACGCAGCCAUGCUGACGACGCCGCAGAGAGAAUCAUCUAUGGACUAUGGUGAUUUGCUGAUUCAUCAUUCAUAUUUCUGGAUUUUGCUCUUCUAAUUGGCAGCCGACAGCCUAAUUGUGGAGUGGAGAUAUAAGCUGCUUGAUGAAAAGAGAUUAUUAUCAAUUUCAAGUUUAGAUAUCAUUCCCAAUUUCAAUUUUCAAGUAAGUAAUGACUUUCUCUAACUUGAUGAAAUAGACUUGUUCAUGAAAUUAAUUGUUGCGUAAUAUUAUUUAUGAAUUUCGUGUUGCCCUUUGAUAAAAAAAUGAAAUAUGAUAUUAAUAAAUUUGUGUAUUGAAUUUGAUUUUAUAACAGUUAUGGAGAGAUAUUUUAAACAAAAAUCCGUAAUUUCAAGUGGAGAGCAGAAUGUAGUUGAAGCGAGUGUUCAAGAUAAAAUAGAUGACCUAGAAGAAACAAAUAUUGGGGGUAAAAUAGAUGUUCAAGACAAAAUUGAUUUAGCACAACUUUCUUCAGAUCCUGGAUUGAGAACUCCAAUUGUGAAUUACAAUGUUAAUGUUCAGGAUAAAAUUUGAAGAGCAUAUAUAUAAAGGGGUCCAUGUCAGCCUCGAAAUCAUAAGUAUCCACAAAAAGAAUUUGGAGAUUUGUCCUUAAGGAGAUUUAAAUCUUCCUGAUUUAAUGACUUCCCUAAUUGGUUGGAAUAUAGUAUAGAAAAAAGAUGUUCUAUUUUUUUUUUUUUUUUUUUUUUUUGUUAUCUUUUCAAAUCAAAUAGUGAAGAACAUGGCGGUGGUGAUACUUUUGUUGAUGGAGGGUUUUCAAAUUGGAAAAAGAAAGGACGGAUUCAAACUCAUGUUGGUGCGCACAAUCAAACACGGAUUAAGUAUUAGGCUUCUGUGACUCAAAAACAAAAUAUUGAUAGUGUUCUCUUUAAAAAGUCGAAGAGAACAAAAUAUGAGUACCGAGUUCGUUUGAAUGCAUCAAAUGAUUGUGUUCGAUUACUUUUACGGCAAGGGCUUUCAUUUCGUGAAAAUAAUGAAUCUGAAGAUUCUAGGAAUCAAGGGAAUUUUCUUGAACUGUUGAAGUGGUUAUGUAAGGCUUCUUGUUUGAGAAAUGCUCCCGAAAAUCUUCAAUUGACAUCACCUAGUAUUCAAAAGGAUAUUGUGAUUGCUAUUGCAUUUGAAACACUUGAUGUUAUUAUGAAAGAUAUUGGUGAUGGGUUGUUUUCUAUUCUUGUUGAUGAAUCUCGUGAUGUUUCAGUGAAUGAGCAGAUGUCAAUUGUUUUACGUUAUAUGAAUAAGAAAGGACAAGUAAUGGAACGUUUUAUCGGUGUUGAGCAUGUGUCUAGUACUAUAGCUCUCUCACUUAACGAUGCCAUUGAACACUUAUUCUCUAGAUUUAACUUAAGUAUAUCUAGUUUAAGAGGUCAAGGUUACGAUAGGGUAAGUAAUAUGCAAGGUGAGUAUAAUGGUCUUAAAGCACUUAUUUUGAAAUAGAAUUCGAGUGAUUUCUAUAUUCAUUGUUUUGCUCAUCAGCUGCAACUAGCUCUUAUAGUCAUGGCAAACAAACAUGCAGAGAUUGAAACAUUCUUUACUCUAGUGAAUAAAGUGGUGAAUGUUGUUGGAGGAUCGACUAAGCGGUGUGAUCUUCUUUGAGAGAAGAAGAGGCUUGAAGCUGUUGAAUCAUUGAAUCUUGGUGAAAUCUCAAGUAGAAAAGGACUUAAUCAAGAAACUAAUUGGCGACCCAGUGAUACUUGUUGGGCUCUCACUAUAGUUAUUUACUUAGCUUGAUUAUCAUGUUUUCUGCUACAGUUGAUGUAAUUGAGAUGAUUGCCACCGAUGAAACUAGUUUUGGACAGAGAGGUGAAGCUCGUAUUCUAUUGGGAUUUAUGUUAACAUUUGCUUUUGUACUCAGUCUGCAUUUCAUGAAAAAGGUAUUGGGUAUUUCAGAUGAGUUGUCAAAAUCAUUACAAAGAAGAGAUUAAGACAUUGUUAAUGCUAUGAAAUUGGUGAAAAUAUGUAAAAAAAAAUGACUUCAAAUAACGAGGGACAAUGAAUGAGACUCAUUUUUACAAAUAGUUUCUUGUUUUUGCGAAAGGCACAACAUUGAUGUUCCCAACAUGGAUGAUAUGUUUAUACCUCUAGGUCGCUCACUGCGUAACACUCAAGGAAUAACAAAUCUACAUCAUUUUUGUGUGAAUUUCUUCUAUGCUAUCAUCGAUCUGCAAAUUCAAGAGUUGAAUGAUCGUUUCUCUGAGACAAAUAGCAACUUACUCCUUUAUAUUGCAUGCUUAUGUCCGAAAAAUUCAUUUUCUGUUUUUGACAAGGACAACUUACUUCAAUUCUGUAAGUAUUAUUCUAAUAAUUUUAAACCAGUAGAGAUCUUGACACUUGAAGGGCAACUUCAAACAUAUAUUAUUGAUAUGCGCAGUCACAAAGAUUUUGAAGGGUUACGAAGCCUUAAUGAUCUUGCGGAAAAGUUGGUAUUGAC